rnacentral:rRNA from 1 species
UACAGAGGUCCCAAGCGUUGUUCGGAUUCACUGGGCGUAAAGGGUGCGUAGGUGGUCGGGUAAGUCUGAGGUGAAAUCUCCGAGCUUAACUCGGAAACUGCCUUGGAUACUAUUCGGCUCGAGGGUUGGAGGGGGGACUGGAAUUCUCGGUGUAGCAGUGAAAUGCGUAGAUAUCGAGAGGAACACCAGUGGCGAAGGCGAGUCCCUGGACAACUCCUGACGCUGAGGCACGAAAGCUAGGGGAGCAAACAGG